ACAAGUAGUAGGUCAGAAAGUUAUUACAGUACAAGAGACAAGUUCACCACUAUUAUUAGUUACUCAUACACAAGGAGAGGGUCAGAAUGAUGGAACAGUAUAAAAGAGAAGUGCACCAGUUACUUGUACACAAUGAGAGGGUCAGAAAGAGAGUACAGGACAAAA